rnacentral:snRNA from 1 species
GUGCUCGCUUCGGCAGCACAUACCCUAAAAUCGGAACGAUGCAGAGAUUAGCGUGGAUGACACGUAGAUGCGUGAGGCGUUCCGUAAUUUG